rnacentral:sRNA from 1 species
GAGAAAACUCUAAUAACUGCUUAAUUUUAUUUUUAACUACAGAAGUUAAUGCUUUAUUUGUAUCUCACAGCAAAAGUUCAAACAGACCCUCCUUCAGUUCCAAUAUGUGACCUGUAUCCUAAUGGUGUAUUUCCCAAAGGACAAGAAUGCGAAUACCCACCCACACAAGAUGGGCGAACAGCUGCUUGGAGAACUACAAGUGAAGAAAAGAAAGCAUUAGAUCAGGCAAGUG